ensembl:lncRNA
GAUAGAUCUGGUUACCUGAGUAGAGUAGUGGCUACGGUUGCUACUAGCAACUGUGAUCUCUGUCUCAUGAAAGUUUAAUAACCUUGCUGACAUUACCUGUAGCUAAUUACCUCCCGUAAUGUAUGAAUGAGCAGGAUCAGAUGGUGACCGUAAGAAGGUCCUUGUCUUAGCAGGAUCGGACAGCCAGGGAGAAAAGAUCAACUGUGGAGCAGAGCUUGGUCCAGUUUCAAUUCAAGUAGCCAGAAAGUUAAACUCCCCGCAACAUUAAAUACAUCAUGUUUUGGAAAGAUGCAUUUCAUGUUUAAGAAAAAAUCUUAAAACGCUUUGAUGGUCAACAGGCUGAAUAUCUGAAGCAAUACUGACUAGAACAAUGUGAAGGAUUCACUUAAUAUUUAAAUAUGAACACAGAAGUAAACACCUCUGUGAUGGCUUUUGUACAAACAUGUUUCAAUGUGCGUUAUGUAUUUGCCAUGCGUAUUAUAAGCAUUUCAAUGCUGCCCUGUGAUUGGCUGCUGCAUUUCUGCUCCGUGAACCUGAUAAGGAUCUUGUGGGUUUUAAUCACUGGGUACACUGACCAGUCUAAUGUAACGCACCCCUCCCCCACUCAGGGGUAAACACCCUCCGAUAAAAACAUCUUCCUAAAACCAUGGAUGUACUGGUAUGAAGUAGUGAUGGGUCAUUCAUUCAGUUUAAAUGGCUUCUUUUUGGAGAGAUAUACUGUGUGAUACGUGUUAUGCUGUUUUAUGAAAUGGAAAAUGCUUAUUGUUUUAGUAUAAAUGUUAAUUGGAUAUAAUAUCUCUUAAUAUUAUGCCAUUAAUGUCUAAACCGCUGGCAAUAAAAGUGAGUACACCCCUAAGUGAAAAUGUC